rnacentral:misc_RNA from 1 species
AAAGUCGUAACAAGGUUUCCGUAGGUGAACCUGCGGAAGGAUCAUUACAGAGUUCAUGCCCCUCACGGGGUAGAUCUCCCACCCUUGAAUAUACUACCUUUGUUGCUUUGGCGGGCUCGUGCCCGCCAAAAGAUUCAAACCAACCUGAAUUUAGUGUCGUCUGAGUACUAUAUAAUAGUUAAAACUUUCAACAACGGAUCUCUUGGUUCUG